CGGGAUAUAGCGCAGUUUGGUAGCGCGCCUGCUUUGGGAGUAGGAUGUCGCAGGUUCAAAUCCUGCUAUCCCGA
rnacentral:tRNA from 1 species